GGGCUUGCUUCGGCAGCACAUAUACUAAAACUGGAACAAUACAGAGAAGAUUAGCAUGGCCCCUGCACAAGGAUGACACGCAAAUUUGUGAAGCGGUCCAUAUUUUU
ensembl:snRNA U6 U6 spliceosomal RNA